CCACAGGGAGAAUUGCCUUAGUACGGCGAGUGAAGCGGCAAAAGCUCAAAUUUGAAAUCUGGCACCUUCGGUGUCCGAGUUGUAAUUUGAAGAAGGUAACUUUGGAGUUGGCUCUUGUCUAUGUUCCUUGGAACAGGACGUCACAGAGGGUGAGAAUCCCGUGCGAUGAGAUGCCCAAUUCUAUGUAAAGUGCUUUCGAAGAGUCGAGUUGUUUGGGAAUGCAGCUCUAAGUGGGUGGUAAAUUCCAUCUAAAGCUAAAUAUUGGCGAGAGACCGAUAGCGAACAAGUACAGUGAUGGAAAGAUGAAAAGAACUUUGAAAAGAGAGUGAAAAAGUACGUGAAAUUGUUGAAAGGGAAGGGCUUGAGAUCAGACUUGGUAUUUUGCGAUCCUUUCCUUCUUGGUUGGGUUCCUCGCAGCUUACUGGGCCAGCAUCGGUUUGGAUGGUAGGAUAAUGACUAAGGAAUGUGGCUCUACUUCGGUGGAGUGUUAUAGCCUUGGUUGAUACUGCCUGUCUAGACCGAGGACUGCGUCUUUUGACUAGGAUGUUGGCAUAAUGAUCUUAAGCCACCCGUCUUGACCCACGGGACCAAAAAAAAUAAUAAAGGGGGGGGGGGGGGGGGGGGGGGGGGGGGGUGUUUAGUGGCUUGUGGUUUCAUUUUCUUGGUGACACAGUUAUGUCUUUUA
rnacentral:rRNA from 1 species